UACGUAGGUGGCAAGCGUUGUCCGGAAUUACUGGGCGUAAAGGGCUCGUAGGUGGCCAACUAAGUCGGACGUGAAAUCCCUCAGCUUAACUGGGGAACUGCGUCCGAUACUGGAUGGCUUGAGUUUGGGAGAGGGAUGCGGAAUUCCAGGUGUAGCGGUGAAAUGCGUAGAUAUCUGGAGGAACACCGGUGGCGAAGGCGGCAUCCUGGACCAACACUGACACUGAGGAGCGAAAGCCAGGGGAGCAAACGGG
rnacentral:rRNA from 1 species